AUGUGCCCGGGUCUGUGGUUGCAAGGCCAUGCCAGCUACGGGCGAAAGGUCCCACGUAAACCGCAGAAGAAGAGUAUGCGGCGAUCAUGGCGUAGUUUAGAAGUAAGUCCUCGGAGAAACUCCGGUCAAGGCAAGUGUGGGGGCAAAGAUCAGGUCAGCCGGGUCAU
rnacentral:ncRNA from 12 species